AGAGGAUACACCUGUUCCCAUUCCGAACACAGAAGUUAAGCUCUCUAGCGCUGAUGGUACUUGGUGGGAAACUGCCUGGGAGAGUAGGACAUAGCCAGGU
rnacentral:rRNA from 1 species